GCACAAGCUGGAGCAUGUGGUUUAAUUCGACGCAACGCGAAGAACCUUACCUGGGCUCGAAAUGUAGUGGAAUCCGGCAGAAACGUCGGCGUCUAGCAAUAGACCGCUAUAUAGGUGCUGCAUGGCUGUCGUCAGCUCGUGUCGUGAGAUGUUGGGUUAAGUCCCGCAACGAGCGCAACCCUUAUCUACAGUUGCUACCAUUUAGUUGAGCACUCUGUCGAAACCGCCUCGGAUAACGGGGAGGAAGGUGGGGAUGACGUCAAGUCCUCAUGGCCUUUAUGUCCAGGGCUACACACGUGCUACAAUGGCCGGUACAAACCGCUGCAAACCCGCGAGGGGGAGCUAAUCGGAAAAAGCCGGCCUCAGUUCGGAUUGGAGUCUGCAACUCGACUCCAUGAAGCUGGAAUCGCUAGUAAUCGUGGAUCAGCAUGCCACGGUGAAUACGUUCCCGGGC
rnacentral:rRNA from 1 species